ensembl:ncRNA R173.8 ncRNA
GAAACACGGAAGCAAGGUCAAAAAGAAGUACCGUGCGGAACUUCAAGUGUCAGUCAAAUGUCUAAA